UGGGGAAUUUUGGACAAUGGGCGCAAGCCUGAUCCAGCAAUGCCGCGUGCAGGAUGAAGGCCUUCGGGUUGUAAACUGCUUUUGUACGGAACGAAACGGUCUUUUCUAAUACAGAAGGCUAAUGACGGUACCGUAAGAAUAAGCACCGGCUAACUACGUGCCAGCAGCCGCGGUAAUACGUAGGGUGCGAGCGUUAAUCGGAAUUACUGGGCGUAAAGCGUGCGCAGGCGGUCUUGUAAGACAGUCGUGAAAGCCCCGGGCUUAACCUGGGAACUGCGAUUGUGACUGCAAGGCUAGAGUGUGUCAGAGGGGGGUGGAAUUCCACGUGUAGCAGUGAAAUGCGUAGAUAUGCGGAGGAACACCGAUGGCGAAGGCAAUCCCCUGGACCUGUACUGACGCUCAUGCACGAAAGCGUGGGGAGCAAACA
rnacentral:rRNA from 1 species